GACGAACGCUGGCGGCGUGCUUAACACAUGCAAGUCGAACGGAAAGGCCCUGCUUUUGUGGGGUGCUCGAGUGGCGAACGGGUGAGUAACACGUGAGUAACCUGCCCUUGACUUUGGGAUAUCUUCAGGAAACUGGGGAUAAUACCGGAUAGGAGCUCCUGCUGCAUGGUGGGGGUUGGAAAGUUUCGGCGGCUGGGGCUAGACUCGCGGCUUAUCAGCUUGUUGGUGGGGUAGUGGCUUACCAAGGCCUUGACGGGUAGCCGGCCUGAGAGGGUGACCGGCCACAUGGGGACUGAGAGACGGCCCAGACGCCUACGGGAGGCAGCAGGGGGGAAUAUUACACAAUGGGCGGAAGCCUGAUGCAGCAACGCCGCGGGCGGGAUGACGGCCUUCGGGUUGUAAACCGCUUUCGGCUGUGACGAAGCGUGAGUGACGGUAAUGGGUAAAGAAGCACCGGCUAACUACGUG
rnacentral:rRNA from 1 species